GAGGGUAUAGCUCAGUGGUAGAGUGCAUGCCUAGCAUGCACGAGGUCAUGGGUUCGAUCCCCAGUACAUCUG
rfam:Camelus ferus unplaced genomic scaffold scaffold1389, whole genome shotgun sequence.